CUGUCGCUCCGCCUCUCUUGGUGAUAUCGACAGUCGGACGAGGAGGGCUAUUGCCCCGCCUCUCGCACUUUUUGAACUGCCGCUCUUCCGUCCUCCUCAGUUUUUUUGCUUCUCCGGUGGUAUUUGAUAAUUUCCUUUUAGAAC
ensembl:ncRNA R10E11.12 ncRNA